UACGGAGGGUGCAAGCGUUAUCCGGAUUCACUGGGUUUAAAGGGUGCGUAGGAGGGCAGGUAAGUCAGUGGUGAAAUCUCCGUGCUUAACACGGAAACUGCCGUUGAUACUAUCUGUCUUGAAUACCGUGGAGGUGAGCGGAAUAUGUCAUGUAGCGGUGAAAUGCUUAGAUAUGACAUAGAACACCAAUUGCGAAGGCAGCUCACUACACGAAUAUUGACUCUGAGGCACGAAAGCGUGGGGAUCAAACAGG
rnacentral:rRNA from 1 species